rnacentral:rRNA from 17 species
CCCUUACGACCAGGGCUACACACGUGCUACAAUGGAGCGUACAAAGGGCUGCGAUCUCGCGAGAGUCAGCUAAUCCCAUAAAACGCUUCGUAGUCCGGAUCGCAGUCUGCAACUCGACUGCGUGAAGUCGGAAUCGCUAGUAAUCGUGAAUCAGAAUGUCACGGUGAAUACGUUCCCGGGCCUUGUACACACCGCCCGUCAAGCCAUGGAAGCUGGGGGUACCUGAAGUCGGUGACCGCAAGGAGCUGCCUAGGGUAAAACUAGUAACUGGGGCUAAGUCGGAACAAGGUAGCCGUACCGGAAGGUGCGGCUGGAACACCUCCUU